CCUACGGGCGGCAGCAGUGAGGAAUAUUGGUCAAUGGGCGGGAGACUGAACCAGCCAAGUCGCGUGAGGGAUGACGGCACUAUGUGUUGUAAACCUCUUUUGCCGGGGAGCAAAGUGCGGCACGUGUGCGGGGUGGAGAGUACCCGGAGAAAAAGCAUCGGCUAACUCCGUGCCAGCAGCCGCGGUAAUACGGAGGAUGCGAGCGUUAUCCGGAUUUAUUGGGUUUAAAGGGUGCGUAGGCGGACGCUUAAGUCAGCGGUAAAAUCGCGGGGCUCAACCUCGUCGAGCCGUUGAAACUGGGCGCCUUGAGUGGGAGAGAAGUACGCGGAAUGCGUGGUGUAGCGGUGAAAUGCAUAGAUAUCACGCAGAACUCCGAUUGCGAAGGCAGCGUACCGGCGCCCAACUGACGCUGAAGCACGAAGGCGUGGGUAUCGAACAGGAUUAGAUACCCGGGUAGUC
rnacentral:rRNA from 1 species